GACUUGAGCUCAGAUCAAGAGUCGGACACUUAACCAACUAAGCCACCCAGGCGCCCUGUACUUUUGGACAUUUUAUCCAAAAUGAUAGAUGUGCUAUCCCCUCUCAGGGGAGUCAGGGGUGGGAGGGGUUAACAUUUACUGAAGAGCUCUGUACCGUGUGUUUUAUUUGAGUUAGUUCCCAGUUUCACAACUCUGAGAAUUAACAUUAUUAUUUCCACUUCAUGUAUGAAGGAACUAAAGCUCAGAAAGGGAUAAAUCCCUUGCCCGAGCUGUGUAAAAGGUGACUGAGGGAAAAGUUGAAUCCAGGUAUUUUGGGUCCCUAACCUUAUGCUGCUUGCCUCUGUUUUCAGCUUAAACGUGCCGUUAGUCACUCCACUGCACUUGACAUUAGAAAGGCAGCGUGUAAGCAUGUCAGUUCAGACAAGCAGGUGCUUAUGAGGAAAGGCUAAGACCAGGAAAAGAUAUUUAUUGGUAGGUUUGAUUCUAGGUAGGGAUUGACAGAGGUCUGCUUCUCAGACAGUAAAGGCUCAGGGUGAUGACGCCCCUGGGGGUCCUCUGUGACCAAGGCUGUCAUACUGAGAAGGCAGACCGACCCUUGACUUGCUUUCAAGAAAGCCGCAGGAGUCCCAGUGGGGAAGCAUGCUACUGGCCUGUCACUCUCUGCUGUGGGGACAAGUUUGGUACAGGUCUCAGUCCUGCACUUAGAUUAGAACCACCAAGAGCCACUGUGGAAGGCACAGAUUUCCAGUGUUCAUAAGGGAGGCAGAGAUGUUAGUUAGCAGGAAGCUGAAAAUGCAUUUGUCAAACUCCCGUCCUGCGGUAGUUGAGAAAGCUUAUCACUGCCUCAUUCGGUUCCCAGCCAAACCUUUCUGGUCUUCCCGUCUGUAUAUGAUGUGCAGAGCUCUAAACCUCACGAGGCCACUGGUCCCUCCCAGGGGUGGGAGAAGCAUGCCCAGAAUCAGGCUUUAUCAUGUACAUUUAUAGCACAAGGUUGAUUAAAGGAGGACUUCCCAGCACCUUGAGUGAACUGUUCCAAAUGCUUUUCCAGAUGCUGAAAAGCUCCAAAAUAACAAGACUGGCAUUCCUCACAGCCCGACACCCAUCUCCGUUACUGCUGAGAAGGGAAAGAGCACCUUAGUGACUUUGGGUCCUGUCCUCAUCUUUGUGAUCAGACAGCUGUGGGAACGUGCUGUUACUUUGUAACAGUAUUUGAAUAUUCCGAAUCGUGUGUGAUCUAAUAAUCAUAACCCAACGUGGUUUGAACUUUGUGUUGACCUAGAUGGAUCUUCCUUCUCAGGAAGUACUUCUCAGAUUGGAUUUUUUUUAGAUUCAUUUUCCUAUUGUUAGACAGUGUAGAAUAGAACUAUGGCCUUUCUUGACCAUAUCGCCUAUGUGCCAAGGUCCUAUUGAACUUCAGAUCCCGCUCUCAGGAAUGGUCCCGAUAUAACAUUAUCGUCCCUGUUUUGAUUGCAGCUUGGAGUGCACAGGCAUCGUCGUGGGAGAACGUGUCCAAGAGCGAGCCCUUGGCUUCCAGGCCACACCUGGGAACCACAGUCUGUUUCCCUCCCCAGGCGGCUCCGCGGCGGUCGGUCGUACUAGACCUAGACGGCACCUCCCCAUCCUCUGAUAAGCACGGGCUGCUCUGUGGCCUCGGCUGUGUUUAAGUUCCUCUGUGGAGUUGUAAUCAUUAACUUAGAAAUUGCAACAGGUGCUAACUUGACAAGGCAGACUUUUCUUCAUCAGGCUGCUGAGUCACUCAGCCUUUUGCUGGGUGAAAUGUGAGCUUUAAGCCCCUCGUAAGAAGCCCUCCUUGGAAUAGUUACAAAGGCACCCCUCCUCCCGCCCUCUUGCUGUGGCCGGUCACCUGUCAGCAGACUGAAGUGCCCUUGAAUGAUCGGUUUUCUGCAACGGAGACCUCUAAUGGGCCUCCUCUCCUGUGAUGUGGUGAAAGGUGGAUGCCAGCUUUAUAGUGAGACCUUGGAAGGGAGAAAGUCUUGCAGUUUCAGUUCUCAGUUGCCCUCUGCCCGGCUCUGAAGCAGUGACGGUUUACUUCCAGGCCAGUGCUGCCCUCUGCUGGCCUUCUGGAGGCCAUGCCACUGCCCAGGAGGUUGCAGAGUCACAUCUGGUAGGCAGGCUGCUUUUAUGCCUUCUUCCAUGGUUGGAGCUAGAGAUUUAUACCAUAUUUUAUUCCGUGUGUCCUCUUGCGAGGCAAACCCUGGAGACCUGCGAACUGCACGGCCUCAUGUCGGCGGACUGUCUCCACAGCGGCCGCCACACAGGGACAGACCCACCAGCCUGAGUCCCCUGGGUGCACUGGAACUUCCCUGACCCCGGUGUCUUAAGCAGGAGGGAGAAGGUGCUGUUCAUUUCUCUUUCUGACUUUGGUGGGGCAACAAGAGAAAACAACUGACUCUUACUUCCCCUGCUGCUCUGAGAGGUUUCCUCAGGGUUCACGCUGUCAUUUAAAUUCCAGGUGCCGGUCUUCUGAACAAAUGCCUCCUGAGGAUUUCUGCGCCUGGAAAGAUCAGUCAGCAGAUUGCGUGAACAUCCCUGUGUGCGUGCGUCCCUUCGAGGUCUGUGAGCUGUCACGUCUUUGAUGCAGUGAUUGCUGCAUGUCUGCAAGCCCACGGUGCUCCAGUCCGUGCUCACACGGACAGGAACCCCAGCUGGAAGCAGGAGGCCUGCGCAGUAGACGCUUUUCCCCAAAGAAGGAGGAGUUUGUUGGGAUCUGCUUUGGAAGAGAGAACCGGCCCAGCCUAUAAGGGUAAGAGUGUUAAUCAGCCCUAAGCCUCCCCACCCCCACCUCCUGACGUGGCACCCUGCUGGGCCCACCUGAAAUCAUCAACCACAGGCCCAUUGUAAUUGGAUGUUCUUCCCAAACUCAUAGCGAGAUGAUAAAGGGGGAUGAUGAAUGAGGAAAGUCCAAAAGAGAGGCUGGAGUUCAGUUCAUUUGUUUAUUAAGCCAACAGAACAGACAGAGUGAAUGGUGCUGCCAGAAUUAGAACCCAUGUUCACAAGGUGGCACGGUGAUGACAAAACCAAGAAAAGGUGAGGAGCACGGUAGGUUGAAAAGAGUGCACGAGUGAAUGUGGUGGGAUCUGGGCUGAGGGAGAAGCUGAACGUGGACUGGGUUCUGGCGGAUACUGAGAAAUGUCAGUUUUCGUAGGUAUGAUGAAAAUAUUGUAAUUAUGCAGGAGAAUGGCCUCAUUGCUUUAAGAUGGCCUCGGCCUCCUAGACGUGCUCAAGAAGUGAGGAGCGUCGGGAUGCUCGUCAGUUUACUUUCAAACGGUCCAGCAGAGAAAUACACAGGGUCUUACACAAACAUGGCGGGGCUAAAGCCAGAUGGCAGAAAUGAACGCCAGUUGAAUUUGGAUGGUUGUCUUGAGUCUAUUGUAAGAGAGCAUUCUGAAGAAAAAACAGAUCAUAAAGCUUCUUCAGGAAGCUGGUUUCAUAUGGUGGUUUAGAUUUAAAUAGUGAUUGUCUAGCACCAUUUGAAAUCAGUGUUCUUGGGGGAGGCCAGAGCACUACCGGCGGCGAGAGGAAUGAACGGGACAGCCCCGGAAUAUUUGAAAGCCAAGACCAGACUACGGCCACGAGUCUGCCUGUUGCGGCCGCCGCCUUCCCCGCCCUGCCACCGGCGUCGUCACAUCUAACACGCUAAUUGUGUGGGUGUCUUACUGUCAGAACUUAAUCCUUCUGGCUUACAGACUCCAUCAUGUGAGGGUUAAAAGGUCAGGCAUGUGCGGACUUCUUACUCUCCGGUCCCUCCCGACCCUCACGUCCUCCUGCGGCCCCUUAGAGGAUGACUGAUUUCUUUUGGUGUUCAGAGUCAAUAUAAUUUUCUAGCACCAUCUGAAAUCGGUUAUAA